rnacentral:rRNA from 1 species
AUUGAACGCUGGCGGCAUGCCUUACACAUGCAAGUCGAACGGCAGCAUGGGUGCUUGCACCUGAUGGCGAGUGGCGAACGGGUGAGUAAUGCAUCGGAACGUACCCGGAAGUGGGGGAUAACGUAGCGAAAGUUACGCUAAUACCGCAUAUUCUGUGAGCAGGAAAGCGGGGGAUCGCAAGACCUCGCGCUUCCGGAGCGGCCGAUGUCGGAUUAGCUAGUUGGCGGGGUAAAGGCCCACCAAGGCAACGAUCCGUAGCGGGUCUGAGAGGAUGAUCCGCCACACUGGGACUGAGACACGGCCCAGACUCCUACGGGAGGCAGCAGUGGGGAAUUUUGGACAAUGGGGGCAACCCUGAUCCAGCCAUGCCGCGUGAGUGAAGAAGGC